rnacentral:misc_RNA from 1 species
UGAAUUGCGAUAAGUAAUGUGAAUUGCAGAAUCUCGUGAAUCAUCGAAUCUUUGAACGCACAUUGCGCCCUAUGGUAUUCCGUAGGGCAUGCCUGUCUGAGCGUCAGCAUCACCCUCCCAAGUGGUAUUAUUGCAUUUGGGGACUCAUUGGAUAAGAAGGUUUAAGUCCCCUAUGGGUGCAUUCUUCUGUCCAGAAAACUAUAGGCAGUAUUGGUUUGUUCUCCUAUACUGGGCGUAAUAAUUGGUUUUAUUCUCGUCUAGAAAAGGUUGAAUAAGUGCUUGCCUUGAACCCACAAAUUUAUCUUAACUGGGUUGACCUCAGAUCAGGUAGGGAUACCCGCUGAACUUAAGC